CCCCGGCUAGCCAUCUGGGAUCCUACCUAGUGCGUCGGGCCUACGACUUAUACGUUCAAAGGUAUUUCGGUGAAGCAUACAUCCCAAACACACAAAGCAAUUCAAGUAAGAGAGAAAGUUAAGAAAAUAUGUUUUCGAUUUUAUUCAGACUUGAAAUUGAGAUUACAAAAUGGAUCAAAGCCCGAUUACAAAUUGAGAUCACAAAAUGGGUCGAAGCUCGACUACAAGUACAUCAAACAAAAACAAAACUCCGACUAAUCAUCGGAGUCGGCUUCUUCCACCGGGAGAAGACCGGGGGCGAUCGGCGCAUCCACUCGGCUCG
rnacentral:lncRNA from 1 species